UACGGAGGGGGUUAGCGUUGUUCGGAAUUACUGGGCGUAAAGCGCACGUAGGCGGAUUUGUAAGUCAGGGGUGAAAUCCCGGGGCUCAACCUCGGAACUGCCUUUGAUACUGCAAAUCUCGAGUCCGGAAGAGGUGAGUGGAAUUCCUAGUGUAGAGGUGAAAUUCGUAGAUAUUAGGAAGAACACCAGUGGCGAAGGCGGCUCACUGGUCCGGUACUGACGCUGAGGUGCGAAAGCGUGGGGAGCAAACAGG
rnacentral:rRNA from 1 species